GCUUGGCUGGCUCAGUUGGUUAAGCUUCUGACUUUGGCUCAGGUCAUGAUCUCGCAGUUUGUGGGUUCAAGCCUCAUGUCGGGCU
rnacentral:tRNA from 1 species